UACAGAGGUCUCAAGCGUUGUUCGGAUUCAUUGGGCGUAAAGGGUGCGUAGGUGGCGGGGUAAGUCAGGUGUGAAAUCUCGGGGCUCAACCCCGAAACUGCAUUUGAUACUGCCUUGCUCGAGUACUGGAGAGGAGAUUGGAAUUUACGGUGUAGCAGUGAAAUGCGUAGAUAUCGUAAGGAAGACCAGUGGCGAAGGCGAAUCUCUGGACAGUUACUGACACUGAGGCACGAAGGCCAGGGGAGCAAACGGG
rnacentral:rRNA from 1 species